rnacentral:misc_RNA from 1 species
GAUGAAGAACGUAGCAAAAUGCGAUACUUGGUGUGAAUUGCAGAAUCCCGUGAACCAUCGAGUUUUUGAACGCAAGUUGCGCCCGAAGCCUUUUGGCCGAGGGCACGUCUGCCUGGGCGUCACGCAUCGCGUCGCCCCUCACAAUUCUCCGUAAAGGGAACAUGUGUUUUGGGGGCGGAUAUUGGUCUCCCGUGCUCAUGGCGUGGUUGGCCGAAAUAGGAGUCCUUUCGAUGGACGCACGAACUAGUGGUGGUCGUAAAAACCCUCGUCUUUUGUUUCGUGCUGUUGCUCGCAAGGUAAACUCUUUAAAAACCCCAAUGUGUCGUCUCUUGACGACGCUUCGACCGCGACCCCAGGUCAGGCGGGACUACCCGCUGAGUUUAAGCAUAUCAAUAAGCGGAGGA